rnacentral:lncRNA from 1 species
UAAUACAGAUAAUAGUAAUACAGAUAAUAAUAGUAAUACAUAUAAUAAUGACUUGUUAAUGUCUUACAACAACCAUUUUAAUAAUAAUUAUAACAGUAAUGAUUAUAAUAUUAUUUGUAAUAAUGGUAACCGAAGUGGUAGCACUAUUAAUUUGAAUAAGAAGAAAACAUAUAAAUAUACAAAUACAAACACAAAUACAGAUACAAGUAUAAAUACAGAUACAAAUUUAAAUACAAAUUUAAAUACAAAUACAAGUACAAAUACAAAUAUAAAUACAAAUAUAAAUACAAAUACAGAUACAAAUACAGAUACAAAUACAGAUACAAAUACAAACACAAAUACAAACACAAAUACAAACAACAAUGAUAAUUUAAACACAUUUAAUAAUUAUAAUAUAAAUAAUUAUAAUGAUUCAUAUAAUAAUUUAUAUCAUAAUAAAUAUGCUAAGAACAAUAGUGCUAGUUCAAAUAUAAAUACCCAUAAUAAAUAUAAAAACGAUAAUAAUCAGAACAGUAACAAUAACGAAUAUAAUAAUAGUAAUAAUAAUAAUAAUAGUAAUAAUAAUAAUAGUAAUAAUAAUAGUAAUAGUAAUAAUAACAAUAAUAAUAAUAAUAAUUACAAUAAUACUAACAAUAAUAAUAACAAUAAUACUAACAAUAAUAAUAACAAUAAUAAUAGUAAUAAUAAUAAUAGUAAUAAUAAUGUUCAUAAUAAUAGUAAUAAUAAUGUUAAUAAUAAUAGUAAUAACUGUUAUACACCUAAUAAAUAUUAUAAUAGUUAUGACACGUUUAAAAAUUAUAAUACAAUAAAAAAUAAUUAUAAUAUAGAAAUUAACGAACGUACAAAAAAAAAAACCGAAAACAAUGUAGACUGUUUAGAAAAUACAUCAGUUAAUAGAAAUUAUGUGAGUAAUAAUAACAAAAAAAAUAUAAAUUAUAUGAAACAAUAUUUUGGGGGUAAUGAAAAGAGUUAUAGUUAUAACAACAGAUUAUAUGUUAAUAUGAAUGAUUAUUCACAUUUUAACGAAUAUAAUAAUACAAAUCAAUGUUAUAAUUAUAACAAUAAUAUUAAUUACAAUAAUAAAAAUGUUAAUAAUAUUGUUACAAAUCGUAGUUAUAACAAUAUUAAUAAUGUUAAUAGCGGUAUUAGUAAGAACCAUAAUAAUAAAAGUAGUAACAAUAUCAGUAAUAAUUUUAAUAAUAAUUCCAUUAACAAUGUGGAUAGUAGUUUUUCAAUACUAAUAGUAAUAUUAGUACAUUUACACUUGGUUAUAAUUUUUAUUACCAAAAUAAAAAUAAUGAAAACGACAACAAAAUAACAGCUAAUAAUAUAUAUAAAAUGAAUAGUUAUAGUAAUAUCAAUAGAAAAAAUUUAAAAAAAAACUAUAUAAAAAAUUACACAAGUAAUAGCCAAUAUAAUAUAUCUAAUAACUUAUAUAUGUAUUGCAAUAAUUAUAAUAAUAUAUAUAAUUAUAAUAGUCAUCAUAUUAAUAAGAAUAACAUGAAUACUAUUAGUAAUGGUGUUGAUUUUUUAAAUAGUAGUAAUAAUAUAGUAUGUACAAGUAGUAAUAAUGUAGUAUGUACAAGUAGCAAUAAUGUAGUAUGUACAAGUAGUAAUAAUGUUGUAUGUACAAGUAGUAAUAACGCAAAUCAUCAAAAUGGAAAAUAUGAAAAAAAAAAUUUAAAAAACAAAGUGCAACUUUUUAAAGCUUGGCAGAAAAAAAGUGUAAAAAAAAAAUAUAUCACAGAUAACAUUACUUCCUUACAAAUUUAUGAAAAUAACGAAAAAAAUGAUACGAAUAAAAGUUUAAAAAAAGUACA